AGCGUAAACUUCACCAAGAGUGCUGCAACAUAGAACGCCAAAUUUGAGUGGGGUUUUGGGCUGUGGGAGACCGCCAAGAGCAUAUUGGAGGUAUAGGCCGUGCUAGAGAUGUGUGUCUCAAUUUAUAUUAGAUCUUCUGUAAUGUCAAGAAAGUGUUGUGCAUGGUUUGUUAAUUGAAUUGUAUAAGAAUAAGGAUUCUAUCCUUGGGUUACUUAAAAAUAAAUUUUCUUCAUCUUCUAAACUUAUUCA